rnacentral:rRNA from 1 species
CCUACGGGAGGCAGCAGUGAGGAAUAUUGGUCAAUGGGCGCGAGCCUGAACCAGCCAAGUAGCGUGAAGGAUGACUGCCCUACGGGUUGUAAACUUCUUUUAUAAAGGAAUAAAGUGAGGCACGUGUGCCUUUUUGUAUGUACGUUAUGAAUAAGGAUCGGCUAACUCCGUGCCAGCAGCCGCGGUAAUACGGAGGAUCCGAGCGUUAUCCGGCUUUAGUGGGGUUAAAGGGAGCGUAGAUGGGUUGUUAAGGCAGUUGGGCAAGUUUGCGGCUCAACCGUAAAAUUGCAAUUGAUACGGGCAGCCCUGAGUACCGUUGAGGUCGGCGGCAUUCGUGGUGUAGCCG